GGCGUGGCCGUGGCGAUGCUGAUGUGGAAGAAACCUGGAAGUAACAAUGUAGAAGGAACUCAACGUGACAAAGGAUUUGCUUAGGAGACAUGAAGUCACACAAAGAAGAAUUUAGCUAAAGAAGCGCUGCCUCCAAAAACGUCCCCAACAUAAGUAAUCUGCUAACCAGGAAAUCCCAGACCCCAACACCUAUCUGAGGACACCUGAAAACUAUCAUGGAGCCCUGCACCUGAGAUUCUUGGAAUGGCUCCCCAUUCGGUACCUUAGCCUUCAACCAAGGGCAUUUGCCCACCCCUCCCCCCAAAACUAUGCAACCCUUAGUUCACCCGGGAUACAAGAUCACCCCAAAUAAAUAUGUACAAGCUAA